CACUUCUUUGUAGUUUUUUAGCAAUUCGCUCUCAUCACCAGUAAGUUUUUUAAGUGAUCUUUUCUUAUUUUUAUAAAUCCAUCUCCUCAUUCAUUGAUCUACUCUUGCAGCUACUUCCACUUCGGGCCAUAAAAAAUAACUACAAUUUGUAAAUAAAAUGUCCGAGACCGGCACCUAGCAGAAACUUUUUGGCAAGUAGGUAGUUCAUGCCAUUAUAUUAUCUAUAAAUAUAAUUAUUAAGUACUGUAUGAUAAAUGUUUUUUUCUCUUACUAGAAAAAGGUCUGUAGGCAAUGAUUUAUAGAAUGAAGGAAUCUGAGAUGCUGAUGGAAGAAGGGG
rnacentral:lncRNA from 1 species